AGGACUCAGGAAAGUUAAAGAGAAACAUGAAUGCACUUGGAAAAUGCUGGACAACUUCAGGAAUGUUUCUGCUUGUGCAGACCUCUCUUCACUGAACAGCAGCAGACCUGACUAGUGUGGAGUACCAGCAAAGAGUGUGCCAGUUCUUUUGCCAGGUUUCCUCAUUAAUCUUGUAUUUUGCCUUGGGUGAGUCCAGCUCUGUUCCCAUUCAGCCUCUGGGCCGGGUCCUUGGAAAAUAUUUUCUGGAUCUUCAGCAGGUGUCCAUAUGUCUGCAGUGGGGAAUCUGGCCAGCUCUCAGAAACUACCUCUCCUCCAAGAACUGCAUACUGAGGCAAAUUCCCAGCUUAUUAAAAAAUAGUUUUGUUAUUUUGCCAUCUUGUUUGUUCUGCAAUACCAUGGUA